rnacentral:rRNA from 1 species
UGGCUCAGGAUGAACGCUAGCUACAGGCUUAACACAUGCAAGUCGAGGGCAGCGGGAAGAAAGCUUGCUUCUUGCCGGCGACCGGCGCACGGGUGAGUAACGCGUAUCCAACCUUCCCCUUAGUAGGGCAUAGCCCGGCGAAAGUCGGAUUAAUACCCUAUGUUUUCCAAUGAGGACAUCUGAGCUGGAAUAAAGAUUUAUCGCUAAGGGAUGGGGAUGCGUCCGAUUAGGUUGUUGGCGGGGUAACGGCCCACCAAGCCCUCGAUCGGUAGGGGUUCUGAGAGGAAGGUCCCCCACACUGGUACUGAGACACGGACCAGACUCCUACGGGAGGCAGCAGUGAGGAAUAUUGGUCGAUGGGCGAGAGCCUGAACCAGCCAAGUAGCGUGCAGGAUGACGGCCCUAUGGGUUGUAAACUGCUUUUAUACGGGGAUAAAGUGAGGGACGUGUCCCUUAUUGUAGGUACCGUAUGAAUAAGGACCGGCUAAUUCCGUGCCAGCAGCUGC